UACGUAGGUGACAAGCGUUGUCCGGAUUUACUGGGUGUAAAGGGCGCGUAGGCGGAUAUGCAAGUCAGUCGUGAAAUGCCGAGGCUUAACCUCGGAGCUGCGAUUGAAACUGUAUACCUUGAGUAUCGGAGAGGAAAGCGGAAUUCCUAGUGUAGCGGUGAAAUGCGUAGAUAUUAGGAGGAACACCAGUGGCGAAGGCGGCUUUCUGGACGACAACUGACGCUGAGGCGCGAAAGUGUGGGGAGCAAACAGG
rnacentral:rRNA from 1 species